UGACCUCGGAUCAGAUAGGAAUACCCGCUGAACUUAAGCAUAUCAAUAAGCGGAGGAAAAGAAACCAACAGGGAUUGCCUUAGUAACGGCGAG
rnacentral:rRNA from 1 species